rnacentral:rRNA from 1 species
GACGAACGCUGGCGGCGUGCUUAACACAUGCAAGUCGAACGCUGAAGACCUGGCUUUUGUUGGGUUGGAUGAGUGGCGAACGGGUGAGUAACACGUGAGUAACCUGCCCUCUUCUUUGGGAUAACGCCCGGAAACGGGUGCUAAUACUGGAUAUUCACUGGCCUUCGCAUGGGGGUUGGUGGAAAGGUUUGUUCUGGUGGGGGAUGGGCUCGCGGCCUAUCAGCUUGUUGGUGGGGUGAUGGCCUACCAAGGCUUUGACGGGUAGCCGGCCUGAGAGGGUGACCGGUCACAUUGGGACUGAGAUACGGCCCAGACUGCUACGGGAGGCAGCAGUGGGGAAUAUUGCACAAUGGGCGAAAGCCUGAUGCAGCGACGCCGCGUGAGGGAUGGAGGCCUUCGGGUUGUAAACCUCUUUCGCUCAUGGUCAAGCCGCAACUGUGGGUUGUGGUGAGGGUAGUGGGUAAAGAAGCGCCGGCUAACUACGUG